UACGUAGGGGGCAAGCGUUGUCCGGAUUUAUUGGGCGUAAAGAGCGUGUAGGCGGCCAGGUAGGUCAGCUGUGAAAACUCGAGGCUCAACCUCGAGACGCCGAUGGAAACCCCCUGGCUAGAGUCCGGAAGAGGAGAAUGGAAUUCCUGGUGUAGCGGUGAAAUGCGCAGAUAUCAGGAAGAACACCCGUGGCUAAGGCGGUUCUCUAGUACGGUACUGACGCUGAGACGCGAAAGCGUGGGGAGCGAACAGG
rnacentral:rRNA from 1 species